rnacentral:rRNA from 1 species
AGAGUUUGAUCCUGGCUCAGGACGAACGCUGGCGGCACGCUUAACACAUGCAAGUCGAACGAGAGAAGAGGAGCUUGCUUUUCUGAUCUAGUGGCGGACGGGUGAGUAACACGUGAGCAAUCUGCCUUUCAGAGGGGGAUACCGAUUGGAAACGAUCGUUAAUACCGCAUAACAUAAUUGAACCGCAUGAUUUGAUUAUCAAAGAUUUAUCGCUGAAAGAUGAGCUCGCGUCUGAUUAGCUAGUUGGUAAGGUAACGGCUUACCAAGGCGACGAUCAGUAGCCGGACUGAGAGGUUGAUCGGCCACAUUGGGACUGAGACACGGCCCAGACUCCUACGGGAGGCAGCAGUGGGGAAUAUUGCACAAUGGAGGAAACUCUGAUGCAGCGAUGCCGCGUGAGGGAAGAAGGUUUUAGGAUUGUAAACCUCUGUCUUCAGGGACGAAAAAAGACGGUACCUGAGGAGGAAGCUCCGGCUAACUACGUGCCAGCAGCCGCGGUAAUACGUAGGGAGCGAGCGUUGUCCGGAAUUACUGGGUGUAAAGGGAGCGUAGGCGGGAUCGCAAGUCAGAUGUGAAAACUAUGGGCUUAACCCAUAAACUGCAUUUGAAACUGUGGUUCUUGAGUGAAGUAGAGGUAAGCGGAAUUCCUAGUGUAGCGGUGAAAUGCGUAGAUAUUAGGAGGAACAUCAGUGGCGAAGGCGGCUUACUGGGCUUUAACUGACGCUGAGGCUCGAAAGCGUGGGGAGCAAACAGGAUUAGAUACCCUGGUAGUCCACGCCGUAAACGAUGAUUACUAGGUGUGGGGGGACUGACCCCUUCCGUGCCGCAGCAAACGCAAUAAGUAAUCCACCUGGGGAGUACGACCGCAAGGUUGAAACUCAAAGGAAUUGACGGGGGCCCGCACAAGCAGUGGAGUAUGUGGAUUAAUUCGAAGCAACGCGAAGAACCUUACCAGGUCUUGACAUCGUAUGCAUAGCUCAGAGAUGAGUGAAAUCUCUUCGGAGACAUAUAGACAGGUGGUGCAUGGUUGUCGUCAGCUCGUGUCGUGAGAUGUUGGGUUAAGUCCCGCAACGAGCGCAACCCUUACUGUUAGUUGCUACGCAAGAGCACUCUAGCAGGACUGCCGUUGACAAAACGGAGGAAGGUGGGGAUGACGUCAAGUCAUCAUGCCCCUUAUGACCUGGGCCUCACACGUACUACAAUGGCUGUCAACAGAGGGAAGCAAAGCCGCGAGGUGGAGCGAACCCCUAAAAGCAGUCUUAGUUCGGAUUGUAGGCUGCAACCCGCCUACAUGAAGUCGGAAUUGCUAGUAAUCGCAGAUCAGCAUGCUGCGGUGAAUACGUUCCCGGGCCUUGUACACACCGCCCGUCACGCCAUGGGAGUCGGUAACACCCGAAGCCUGUAGUCUAACCGCAAGGAGGACGCAGUCGAAGGUGGGAUUGAUGACUGGGGUGAAGUCGUAACAAGGUA